GACCACGUAGCUCAGUUGGCAGAGCAUUGGGCUAGUAUUCCAAAGGUCGUAGGUUUGAUUCCCACCGUGGCCA